UUCCUAAGAGCCCGUUGGUGUCCGUGUUGCUGCUUCAAAAGGCUUGGUAGAGCUGAUCGUUCGGGGUGUUCUUCGAUCAUUUCCUUCCUCCUCCUCAUCUUUAAAUUUCUUCUUCUCCUUUCACAAGAGCCCGUUGUUCUUCGAUCAUUUCCUUACUUCCUCCUCCUCUUCUUUAAAUUUCUUCUUCUUCUAAGAGCCCGUUGGUGUCCGUGUUGCUGCUUCAAAAGGCUUGGUAGAGCUGAUCGUUCUCAAGACAGGCAAGGAAAAGAAGAGCCCGUUGGUGUCCGUGUGCCUGCUUCAAAAGGCUUGUAGAGCUUAUCUUUCUCAAGUCAGGCAAGGAAAAGAAGGGGAGAAGUGAAGAUGGGGAGAGACCACCUUGUAAUUUACAGGUUGGUUCUAUAAAGCCUCACAUUCACUAUUGUGAUAUGAGAAACAUCACCAAUCACUCCUUUUUGAUGGGCACAAGAAAGUUGUUUCAUAUGUCAAGUUCUUCUCCAACAAUGAGCUUGCUUCUGCAUUUACUGACAGCACACAACAGUUGCGGGAUGUAAAGGAGAAUUUUCCGGUAAGU